AUUGAACGCUGGCGGCAGGCUUAACACAUGCAAGUCGAGCGAGCGGCGGACGGGUGAGUAAUGUCUGGGAAACUGCCUGAUGGAGGGGGAUAACUACUGGAAACGGUAGCUAAUACCGCAUACCAUCAGAUGUGCCCAGAUGGGAUUAGCUAGUAGGUGGGGUAAUGGCUCACCUAGGCGACGAUCCCUAGCUGGUCUGAGAGGAUGACCAGCAAAAGGGGAAGUGAGACACGGUCCAAACUCGUACGGGAGGCAGCAGUGGGGAAUAGUGCACAAUGGGCGCAAGCCUGAUGAAGCCAUGCGGCGUGUGGGAAGAAGGCCCUCGGGUUGUAAAGCACUUUCAGCGAGGAGGCGUUACUCGCAGAAGAAGCACCGGCUAACUCCGUGCCAGCAGCCGCGGUAAGAC
rnacentral:rRNA from 1 species